rnacentral:rRNA from 1 species
AUUGAACGCUGGCGGCAUGCCUUACACAUGCAAGUCGAACGGCAGCGCGGACUUCGGUCUGGCGGCGAGUGGCGAACGGGUGAGUAAUACAUCGGAACGUACCCUGUUGUGGGGGAUAACUAGUCGAAAGAUUAGCUAAUACCGCAUACGACCUGAGGGUGAAAGUGGGGGACCGGAAACGGCCUCAUGCAGCAGGAGCGGCCGAUGUCUGAUUAGCUAGUUGGUGGGGUAAAGGCCCACCAAGGCGACGAUCAGUAGCUGGUCUGAGAGGACGAUCAGCCACACUGGGACUGAGACACGGCCCAGACUCCUACGGGAGGCAGCAAUGGGGAAUUUUGGACAAUGGGGGCAACCCUGAUCCAGCAAUGCCGCGUGUGUGAAGAAGGCCUUCGGGUUGUAAAGCACUUUUGUCCGGAAAGAAAUCGCGCUGGUUAAUACCUGGCGUGGAUGACGGUACCGGAAGAAUAAGCACCGGCUAACUACGUG